CGGGCAGCCAAUGGCAGCCGCACGGCGCGGAUCCCCCACACGCUCCAUUCAAGAAUCUCAAGUAUUCAAGAUGGACGGAAGGGAAUGCGGAGAGGAGAAGCGGGAGCUGCUGCUUUGAGCGCCUUCCACUUCCAUGCCCGGGGGAAAGGGGGAGGAAACUCCCCGCAAGUUUCCACCUCUGCCACUGGCGGAGGCGAGAGACGAAGAGAAGCCCGAGAGCUGCUGAAAGGGUGGACCUUCUGAAACCGCUUAUAGAAACACCAAACUGGAUGUUCCUGCUGAAUGAAGACCAGAAAGGACGGUUGAAAUUAUUUGGGCACUACAGCAGCCCAGAGGACACCCCAAAGAAAGCAAACUGAUAAAGAGUUAAAAUGAAUCCCCAUUGUCUUGGGCGAGGUGAGAAGGUGGUUCUCUUGUUCCCACAUAGGAAUUCGGAGAGAGGGAAAGAGUGCGUGAAGAGCCUCCAGAGGCACUGGGCAUGGCCCCUGUCCAAGGCUCUUUUCACAUUGUGCUACUGUCUGAGCCCAACGCAAGCAGUGCAAUGUAAAAAGGGCAUUGGGUGGGUGGCCACAGCAGCAUGAAGCCUCUAUACGUCCAUUAUUGGCAAUAUUCAGGGGAUAGGCAUGGAGCCUUGCUAUGUGAGGCAAACGGAAGGUGUAACUGAGAAAACGAAUACUGCCCAGCAGCAGCACAACAUAGCUCCUGUGACAGCUGAAGUGCUCCCAUCCACCCCAAAUAUAUAUGGGGCUGUUCAGCAUCAACUGCUGGGUUAGGAUAGUUCACAGGCCAACAUGGUUUGGCACCUGAGUGGAAACUGAAGGGUUGUUGCUUUCUUGCAAAUCACCUUUGACUGUUCCGAGGAGUUACAGCAACCUAUUGCCUAAUAAAUGUUACCGCUUCUUUAACUGGGUGUCUCCUGUGUUCUCAAAGUUGCCGAAUUGCUGGUAAAUGUUAAAAUUUAUGGGAAAGAAAGCUCUGACUCAUUCUAGAUGUGGAAAGGAAGACAUGGGCAGCGACUUCCUGGAAUAUGGUAAUUUGGCACACACAGUUCUGAUAAGUUUUCAAAUGGGGAGAAACUUUGUAGCUUGUAUUUUAUUGUAUAUGUGGGUUUCCAGAUGCUCAUCCCAAUGGUGCUGAUGUUUGGUUACUUUAAAAGAAAAAGAAGUAUUAGUGGGAUUUCCAAGUUCAAGCCAUCAGCCGUUCUUGUUUCAGAGAAGUCCUCUUGGGACGUUUGGCCAGCAAGCUUAAUCCUUGUGAAUGUAACUGCUAGAUUUGGGCAGCAGCCGCGCAAGGAAGCAGGAAAAGAGAAGCCAUUAGUAGCAUGGCUCUUUUUGAUUUUGUUUGGGUUUUUUAAAUAUAAAACACCUUUAUUAUACAAAAAGAAAUAUAUCCUGCGCUGGUGACAGUGCUGAGGCUUUACCCCCACCUGCCCCCCAUCCUGUCUUCAUGUGGGGUGGGGGGAUGUGGGGGAGCCAUGGUGCCCAAGGUUCACAAGCACACGGCGACCCAAAACAAAAGAAAUAGACUCCAUAGAGUAGACAUGGGGGGUAAACACCACGGCAGUGUCAGGGAACGGGAGGGGUGAAAGGGGUUGUGAACUACCAUGGCUCCAUGUGGAGAGGGGCUGCUCCCCCCCCCCUACCUCUAGGAUCCCUUUGUUUCCUCUUUGAGAGGGAUUUCCUCUCCCCAACACUGGUAGGCUGUCAAACACAAAUUUUAUUUCUCCCAAGAAAGGAGAAGAGCAUAAAAAGCUGCCUUUUCCUGACUCAGACCCUCUUGGCCCUUCUAGCUCAACCUGGUCAAUAUUGAUCGGCAGCAGUUAUCCAGGGCCGUUGGGCAGAGAGCCUGUUCUAGCCGUUCCGUGAGGUUCUU